UACGGAGGGGGCUAGCGUUGUUCGGAAUUACUGGGCGUAAAGCGCGCGUAGGCGGACCUGCAGGUCGGGGGUGAAAGCCCGAGGCUCAACCUCGGAACUGCCUUCGAUACUGCCGUGCUUGAGGACUGGAGAGGAGACUGGAAUUUACGGUGUAGCGGUGAAAUGCGUAGAUAUCGUAAGGAAGACCAGUGGCGAAGGCGGGUCUCUGGACAGUUCCUGACGCUGAGGCACGAAGGCCAGGGGAGCAAACGGG
rnacentral:rRNA from 1 species